UACGUAGGGUGCGAGCGUUGUCCGGAAUUAUUGGGCGUAAAGAGCUUGUAGGCGGUUUGUCGCGUCUGCUGUGAAAAUCCGGGGCUCAACUCCGGACUUGCAGUGGGUACGGGCAGGCUAGAGUGUGGUAGGGGAGACUGGAAUUCCUGGUGUAGCGGUGGAAUGCGCAGAUAUCAGGAGGAACACCGGUGGCGAAGGCGGGUCUCUGGGCCGUAACUGACGCUGAGGAGCGAAAGCGUGGGGAGCGAACAGG
rnacentral:rRNA from 1 species